rnacentral:rRNA from 1 species
UACGUAGGGUGCGAGCGUUAAUCGGCAUUCCUGGGCGUGAAGCGUGCGCAGGCGGCGCGUUAAGACAGGUGUGAAAGCCCCGAGCUUAACUUGGGAAUUGCGCUUGUGACUGGCGUGCUGGAGUGUGGCAGAGGGAGGUGGAAUUCCACGUGUAGCAGUGAAAUGCGUAGAGAUGUGGAGGAACACCGAUGGCGAAGGCAGCCUCCUGGGCCAGCACUGACGCUCAUGCACGAAAGCGUGGGGAGCAAACAGG